UGUGAGUCAUCGAAUCUUUGAACGCACCUUGCGCCCUUUGGCUAUUCUGAAGGGCAUGCCUGUUUGAGUAUCAUGAACACCUCAACUCUCAUGGUUUGCCAUGAUGAGCUUGGACUUUGGGGGUCUUGCUGGCCUAUGGUCGGCUCCUCUCAAAUGAAUCAGCUUGCCAGUGUUUGGUGGCGUCACAGGUGUGAUAACUAUCUACGCUUGUGGUUUUCCACCAGGUAACCUUCAGUGAUGGGGGUUCGCUGGAGCUCAUAAAUGUCUCUCCUCAGCGGGGACAGCUUUUUGAACGUUUGAUCUCAAAUCAGGUAGGACUACCCGCUGAACUUAAGCAUAUCAAUAAGCGGA
rnacentral:rRNA from 1 species